rnacentral:tRNA from 1 species
AAAAUCUUAGUUUAAAAUUUAAAAAUAACUCAUUUACAUUGAGAAGAUUAAUUAAUUUAUUAUUUUU